rnacentral:rRNA from 1 species
AGUGAACGCUGGCGGUAGGCCUAACACAUGCAAGUCGAACGGCAGCACAGUAAGAGCUUGCUCUUACGGGUGGCGAGUGGCGGACGGGUGAGGAAUACAUCGGAAUCUACUUUUUCGUGGGGGAUAACGUAGGGAAACUUACGCUAAUACCGCAUACGACCUACGGGUGAAAGCAGGGGAUCUUCGGACCUUGCGCGAUUGAAUGAGCCGAUGUCGGAUUAGCUAGUUGGCGGGGUAAAGGCCCACCAAGGCGACGAUCCGUAGCUGGUCUGAGAGGAUGAUCAGCCACACUGGAACGGAGACACGGUCCAGACUCCUACGGGAGGCAGCAGUGGGGAAUAUUGGACAAUGGGCGCAAGCCUGAUCCAGCCAUACCGCGUGGGUGGAGAAGGCCUUCGGGUUGUAAAGCCCUUUUGUUGGGAAAGAAAAGCAGCAGGUUAAUACCCCGCUGUUCUGACGGUACCCAAAGAAUAAGCACCGGCUAACUUCGUG